GAAUGGUUCAGUGAGGCGUUCGGACUGGCCCAGGGAGGUCGGCAACGACCACCCAGGGCCGGAAAGUUCUCCAAACUCGAUCAUUUAGAGGAAGUAAAAGUCGUAACAAGGUCUCCGUUGGUGAACCAGCGGAGGGAUCAUUG
rnacentral:rRNA from 1 species